ensembl:misc_RNA Metazoa_SRP Metazoan signal recognition particle RNA
GUUGAAUGUGAUGGCACAUGUCUGUAAUACCAACUAAAAGGGAGGUUGAGGCUGGCAAAUCUCUUGAGCUCAGGAGCUGUAAGCUACAGUGACCUAAACUGAUUGGGUGCCUACACUAAGUUCAACAUCAAUAAAGUGAGUCCAUGGGAACAGGGAUCACCAGGUUGCCUAAGGAGGGAUGAAUAGUCCAGGUUGGAAAUGGAGGAGGUCAAAGCUCCUGUGCCAAUUAAUUGUAGGACUGCACCUGUGAUUGGCCCCUGCAUUUCUAGUCUGGUUGAACUGUCUUU